GCGCGAGGACAGGCCAGCACCGGGAGUCCGCGAGCCGCAGUCGCCGCAGACCCUGCAACACUGAGACGGGGAUUAGCUUAAGAAAACGCAGGUAAAACGAUCGAAACUGAUUUCCUGGGGCCGUUCCUGUGCACUCUGUCGUAAUUCGAAUCCACGAGCUUUUCUUCGUCUGGAACCUGGACUAGAUUCGGACUUCCCAUUCUGAAAACAAAGCAACUUUAUGUGAGUUUUAGUACCUUUUAACACAACUUGGGAAAUUCACGCGUCUGAACUAAUGUUAGGUUUCAGGUGAAACAUUCAAGUUAGUCAGAAUGGGGCCUGGACUAGAUGCGGACUUCGCAUUCUGAAAACAAAGCGAAAUGAGUGUUUAGUGGGUUUUCAAAGAGCUCGGAAAAUUCACGUGUCGGAACUUAAUGUAGUUUCAGGUGAAAAAUGAGUUAGUCAUAAAGGUGGGGUAAUUUUAGACUGAUAGCCCUGAUCUCAUUUUACGCGAAAAAAUUGUGGGUAGGUGAAAAUCGCGAACCCCAUCCAAAACAAACACGACUAAUUGCUUUGUGUCUGCUUGUACGUCGUUGGAACUUUAAAAAUAGGUACCUAAGAGUCAUAUUGUUGGGCUAGAACUAAGCACAAAGGGCGAAACUCUGUAAGAAUUCAAGUUUUUGUGUUCAGUAUUAAAUAUUUGUAAUAAAAUUAUACAGCUUCAAAAA